rnacentral:rRNA from 1 species
GAUGAACGCUGGCGGCGUGCCUAAUACAUGCAAGUCGAGCGGACAGACGAGGAGCUUGCUCCUCUGACGUUAGCGGCGGACGGGUGAGUAACACGUGGAUAACCUACCUAUAAGACUGGGAUAACUUCGGGAAACCGGAGCUAAUACCGGAUAAUAUAUUGAACCGCAUGGUUCAAUAGUGAAAGACGGUUUUGCUGUCACUUAUAGAUGGAUCCGCGCCGCAUUAGCUAGUUGGUAAGGUAGCGGCUUACCAAGGCAACGAUGCGUAGCCGACCUGAGAGGGUGAUCGGCCACACUGGAACUGAGACACGGUCCAGACUCCUACGGGAGGCAGCAGUAGGGAAUCUUCCGCAAUGGGCGAAAGCCUGACGGAGCAACGCCGCGUGAGUGAUGAAGGUCUUCGGAUCGUAAAACUCUGUUAUUAGGGAAGAACAAAUGUGUAAGUAACUAUGCACGUCUUGACGGUACCUAAUCAGAAAGCCACGGCUAACUACGUG